UGUGUGUCGUAGUUAACGCAGUUAAACAGGGCUCCCGGGAAGUACGUCCGCAAGGCUUUUACGCAAAGGAAUUGACGGGGACCCGCACAAGCAGUGGAGCGCCUGGUUUAAUUCGAUGGUCAGCGAAGAACCUCACCUAGGCUUGAACUGUAGCUGCACGCUCCCAGAUACGGGAGAAUCCUUCGAGGGUGCUACAGAGGUGCUGCAUGGCUGUCGUCAGCUCGUGUCGUGAGAUGUAGGGUUAAGUCCCACAACGAGCGCAACCCCUAUUCAGUGUUAUAAUUACUCUGAAGACUGCCCUGUCCAAACGGGGAGGAAGGAGGGGACGACGUCCAGUCAUCAUGUCCCUUAUGUCUAGGGCUACACAGACGCUACAAUGGCCGGUACAAUGGGUUGCCAAACCGCGAGGUGGAGCCAAUCCCAUCAAAGCCGGUCCCAGUUCGGAUUGCAGUCUGCAACUCGACUGCAUGAAGUUGGAAUUGCUAGUAAUCGCGAAUCAGCACGUCGCGGUGAAUACGUUCUCGGGUCUUGUACACACCGCCCGUCAGGCACAGGGAGUCGCUCUUGCUCGAAGUUCC
rnacentral:rRNA from 1 species